GACGAACGCUGGCGGCGUGCUUAACACAUGCAAGUCGAACGGUGAAGGGACCGGUUUUUGCUGGUUCUGGAUGAGUGGCGAACGGGUGAGUAACACGCGAGUAACCUGACCCCUUCUUCUGGAUAACCGCAUGAAAGCGUGGCUAAUACGGGCUAUUCUGCUCCUGCUGCAUGGAGGGUGUGGUAAAGCUAUUGUUUCGGUGGUGGAUGGGCUCGCGGACUAGCAGCCUGUUGGUGGGGUGAUGGCCUACCAAGGCGGUGAUGGGUAGGCGGCCUGGGAGGGUCGGCGGCAAUAGUGCGACGGCGACACGGAGCAGACUCCUACGGGAGGCAGUGGUGGAGAAUAUUGCACAGGGGGCGCAAGCCUGAAGCAGCGACGCCGCGGGAGAGAUGGAGGCCGGCGGGUUGUAAACCUCUUUCGCGAGUGAAGCAGGCCUGGCCCUUUUGUCGGUGGGUUGACGGUAGCUGGAUAAGAAGCGCCGGCUAACUACGUG
rnacentral:rRNA from 1 species